UUGCCAUGACACCCUCUUUAGAGUCCCAGUGGGAUGCCAAAAAGAAAAAAAUCCCUUUCCUAGCAACAGGAAGCUUGGCAUGGGGCAGCCUUAGUGCAGCAGCAAGACUGGAGAGUCCUUGGUGCUGGAUGCUCACCGUCUGCAGCCCAGCAUGCUACCACUCGAGGGCAGCACGGUGGCAGCUAAUAGUCUGGGCUGCCACAGAUAAUACCUUUGUUAAGUGCUCAGAGAGUAUGUUCUCCCAAAAUCUACCCUGCAGCUAGCUGCUGCAGACAUACAACCAUCUCUUCCACUUACCCCCUGGACCCUUGCUUAACACUUCACGUCAGUCAUACAAAACAUUUUCAUUUGAAAACAAAAGGCAACUGGGCACCAUAUGUAAACACUGAAUUUCAGGCCGAUUUCAUGGUCUGAUUUUUUUUCCCUCUCUCUCUCCAUAGAAGCAUAGUAUGAGUCAAGAAAGUCAGUCCUGGCAGCUGGUGAAGAGGAGAAAGACCAGAGAGGUGUGGCUUGUCACAGGGUAGGGGGCACACUGCUGACCCUGGCCAGGACAACAGCCACCCUGCGACCAUGUGACAUGCCAGAUGCAGGGUCGCUCAGCCUCCAAAGACACUCAGGAUGAGAGCUUUCAAGAACAUCGAGACCUCUGCUGGCCUCUGUCCUUCUACAGAGCCCAGGCCUAUGGUGAAGAGACCCUGAGCCUCCUGUCUCUGCACCCUGUUGGGAGCAUGUCAGCUACUCUGCCAGCAUGUGAGACAAGGACACACGCCUCCUCUGCUUAAACCCACAGGCCCGUGACAUCUCCUCAAGCAUGCGGACAUUCAGCCCUUUGGGCAACACAGGGAGGUGGCAGCUGAGGGGUGCUACAGUGGUGGCCAAGAUCACUGCACACGGCGACAGUAGUAGCCCAGGACCUUGCACUUUUCGCAGAGGUGCUGAGGGUGCUCCUUGCUCUGGUCAGACACAUCCAGGCCGUCAGGCUUCUCC
rnacentral:lncRNA from 1 species